rnacentral:piRNA from 2 species
UUGCUCUUUCUCCUGUAGCUUUGCCUU